GAUGAACGCUGGCGGCGUGCCUAAUACAUGCAAGUCGAGCGAACAGACGAGGAGCUUGCUCCUCUGACGUUAGCGGCGGACGGGUGAGUAACACGUGGAUAACCUACCUAUCAGACUGGGAUAACUUCGGGACACCGGAGCUAAUACCGGAUAAUAUAUUGAACCGCAUGGUUCAAUAGUGAAAGACGGUUUUGCUGUCACUUAUAGAUGGAUCCGCGCCGCAUUAGCUAGUUGGUAAGGUAACGGCUUACCAAGGCAACGAUGCGUAGACGACCUGAGAGGGUGAUCGGCCACACUGGAGCGGAGACACGGACAAGACUCCUACGAGAGGGAGCAGUAGGGAAUCUUCCGCAAUGGGCGAGAGCCUGACGGAGCAACGCGGAGUGAGUGAUGAAGGUCUUCGGAUCGUAAAACUGUGUUAUUAGGGAAGAACAAAUGUGUAAGUAAAUAUGCACGUAUUGACGGUACCUAAUCAGAAAGCCACGGCUAACUACGUG
rnacentral:rRNA from 1 species